AAACUUGAGAGUUUGAUCAUGGCUCAGAACGUACGCUGGCGGCACGCCUAACACAUGCAAGUCGAACGAAGUAGCAAUACUUAGUGGCAGACGGGUGAGUAACAUGUAGGUAUCUGCCCUUUGGCCUGGAAUAACACGAGGAAACUUGUGCUAAUACCGGAUAAGUCUUUACGGAGAAAGCUUUAUGCACCAUUGGAUGAGCCUGCACUUGAUUAGUUUGUUGGUGGGGUAAUGGCCUACCAAGACUGUGAUCAAUAGCUGAUUUGAGAGGAUGAUCAGCCACAUUGGGACUGAGACACGGCCCAAACUCCUACGGGAGGCAGCAGUGGGGAAUCUUGCACAAUGGAGGAAACUCUGAUGCAGCGAUGCCGCGUGAGUGAAGAAGGCCUUUGGGUUGUAAAGCUCUUUCGUCGGGGAAGAAAAUGACUGUACCCGAAUAAGAAGGUCCGGCUAACUUCGUGCCAGCAGCCGCGGUAAUACGAAGGGACCUAGCGUAGUUCGGAAUUACUGGGCUUAAAGAGUUCGUAGGUGGUUGAAAAAGUUAGUGGUGAAAUCCCAGAGCUUAACUCUGGAACUGCCAUUAAAACUUUUUAGCUAGAGUAUGAUAGAGGAAAGCAGAAUUUCUAGUGUAGAGGUGAAAUUCGUAGAUAUUAGAAAGAAUACCAAUUGCGAAGGCAGCUUUCUGGAUCAUUACUGACACUGAGGAACGAAAGCAUGGGUAGCGAAGAGGAUUAGAUACCCUCGUAGUCCAUGCCGUAAACGAUGUGUGUUAGACGUUGGAAAUUUAUUUUCAGUGUCGCAGGGAAACCGAUAAACACACCGCCUGGGGAGUACGACCGCAAGGUUAAAACUCAAAUGAAUUGACGGGGACCCGCACAAGUAGUGGAGCAUGUGGUUUAAUUCGAAGAUACGCGCAGAACCUUACCAACACUUGACAUGUUCGUCGCGACUCUAAGAGAUUAGAGUUUUCGGUUCGGCCGGACGAAACACAGGUGCUGCAUGGCUGUCGUCAGCUCGUGUCGUGAGAUGUUGGGUUAAGUCCCGCAACGAGCGCAACCCUCACUUUUAGUUGCCAUCAUUAAGUUGGGCACUCUGAAAGAACUGCCAGUGAUAAGCUGGAGGAAGGUGGGGAUGACGUCAAGUCCUCAUGGCCCUUACGUGUUGGGCUACACACGUGCUACAAUGGUAUCUACAACAGGAAGCAAGACUGCGAAGUUAAGCAAAUCCCUAAAAGAUACCUCAGUUCGGAUUGCACUCUGCAACUCGAGUGCAUGAAGCUGGAAUUACUAGUAAUCGUGGAUCAGCGUGCCACGGUGAAUGCGUUCCCGGGUCUUGUACACACCGCCCGUCACACCAUGGGAGUUGGUUCUACCUUAAGGCAAGGUUUAAAACCCUUGACCACGGUAUAGUCAGCGACUGGGGUGAAGUCGUAACAAGGUAGCCGUAGGGGAACCUGCGGCUGGAUUACCUCCUUU
rnacentral:rRNA from 1 species